GCCCCGGCGGCGGCGGCGGCGGGGAUGAAGGGCGAGACUGCGCUGGCUGGGGUGCCCGCGAGGGCGAAGGAGGCUGUGCGGGACCCGGACCGGGACCGGGACCGGGACCACGGCCUAGGGGCACAGCCUCCCCGUCCUGUUCUCGGGACCCCUAGGAGCAGCCGGCCUCGGGGCGAGAGGCGAACAUUCGGAUCCUCCCCCUGGGAUCUGAGCUGGCGUGAAACGCGGGGGACAGGGUGGGGGCCGCGGCGGCGGGGUGAAGUCUGACAAACUCGAUGAAGAACUUGGUAAGUUCUGUGUUUCUCUUCUAUGGUAAAUUGAAAGUACAGCCUGUGUCCUCUCAGAACACUUAACUCCCUGUGAUUGGUUGCAGAUCGAAGAAAAUUCCUAGGAGUAGAGGGUAAGUGAAGUCAAGAUUCUCAUCUUUGACAUGGCAUAUGCCACUGCCUGUAACAGAUCCUACCCUGCCAAGUGACUGAACUAAACUUAAAUGUCUCCAUCUAUUUGUAGAUCUGAUUGAAGCUUAAAGAUCUGCAAGUAAAUGCAAAGUGAAUAAUGUGUAUGUAGUUGAGAAUGACUUUACACUUGUCACCUAAUCUCUCUGGGAUUCUACUGUGAAAGAAAAAGAUUUUGCCCAAAUAAUCUACAAAACAAUUUUGAACUCAGAAAAUCAUUUGAUUCUGGAUACAUGGACCUAAUGUUAAAUAAGAACCAAGUCAAAAAAUAGGGGAAAUAGUUUUAGAAAAGACUGUCUUAAUGCACAAGGUUUACAAAGAACAGAUACACUACAAUAACCUUACUCUAAAAUGCAGGUUUUAAAUCAGUCAGAAAUAAGUUUUUACUCUAAUUCUAAUCCUACCAAUACCACAACUACAAGAUUCUCCAGAAAAAGAUUGAUAAGAUAUGGAAUUUGUUUUCUGUUCUCUUUCCUCUCCUCUUGAAAUUUCAAGUCUUCCACAUCUAUUAGAUUAUUAUUAUCUAUAUAAACAUGUGAUGAUAUUUCUCCUAUCAAGAAAAAAAAGUAAGGAAUAGCAAACUCUCUUGAUCUAAUUUCUCCAUCUGGCUGCUAUCUUAUUUCUCUUUCCUUUACAGGGAAACCUCACUAGAUAGUUGUGAAUCCUCAUUCUCUUUAAUUUUUACCUUCCCAUUUCUCUCCAUCUCAUCCACAUAACGGUCCUGCACCCCUCCUGCCUUGUUGCCUUUCUAACAGUAUCUCCUUCCUCUCCCCACUCUUACUCUCCUUCCCCUGCACUGCCUGGUUACCUGCGCUUUGAACAUACUGAACGUGCUCCUGACUCCGUGCUUUGCACGUGGCAUUGUCUGCCUGACAUUUCUCUAUCCCUCUGUACUUUUCGCUCUAUACAUGGUGGUUGUGAUGUUCCUAGUGCAAAUAGUGAGGACAUAUUUGAGAUGGGGACCAUUGUUAAAGAUGUUUCAUAAGGAAGUGGCUGUGCCCUUGGAACCUCUGAUGUGCUGUGGAUCAGUUUCACAGAUGAAAUGAUGUGAUGUUUUCCUGCAAGAAAAGAACUUCAGACUUGUGAGUGGAAUGACGUAAUGGGCAAUGACAUAGAGAUGAUGUUUAUUUUAUCUCUGUAUUUAAGAAAUGGACCCUUGAAUGUGAUCUGCUUUGUUCAUCAUCCCUGCUUUGACCCCUCUUAGAGGUUGAAAAGUCUUAUCUUAAGGCCUAUAAUUAAUUGAUCUUUCUUCUUCUGCAGUGGACAUAAGACUGGAUAAAGCCACUGCUCACCCUCACCUUGCUGUGUCAGCUGACGGGAAACUUGUGGAAUCCCUUUUAUAUGAGUGAGAUGUUCCUGACCACCCUGAACGAUUUGAUACUCUGUGGGCCGUGCUGGGUCAGAACAGCAUCUCUGGCAGUAGGCAUUAUUGGGAAGUCCAAGCAGCAUGGAAGACUAGGGCACAGCUGGGAUACAUUCCACAGGAGUCAUCCUCAUGGACCACAGUACCAUGUAGCCAUUUCCCAACCAGGACACUGGUAGGCUGGGGGUGUCAGAAUCUGCCAAGGAGGCCCCAGUCUCCUUCCCAGUCUAGUGGGCAACUAAGAAUGAUCCCUCCCAUUGGACCAUUGCCAUCGCUCUUCCCAACAACCCGUCCUCCCCUUAACACAUUUUCCUUUUUGCCUUUUAGGUCUAAGAAAUGCAAACUCUCUUAUCCUUCUUAGAUUUGAGCUGAGAUUUUGACACUAGCCCUCAACAAAUCACUGUUAAGCAUUUCUCAGCACGCCUUAACCAGAUUAAUACUGUGUUUCCAUUUCACCAUUAAUGUGUGGGCUCUUCAAGACUAGAAAGCAAGCGGUGCUCAUUUGCAUAACCAUUUCUGUGCCAAAAUCAUUGCCAUGAGCACUGGAUAGCUUUGAAUUGAGUAAAAUUGAAUCCUACGAACAACCAGACUACCAUAUUCUCUCAAAGUCAUUUUUAUACAGCAACUAUCAUUGUACAUAGGCCCUUCCCCAAUUUCUUUAUUUUGUUUAUUUUAUUUUAAUUUAAAAAUAUUUAAUUGACAAAUAAAGAUUAUAUAUAUUCAAGAUACAGAACAUGAUUUUAUAUAUAUAUUAAUAUGUAUACACACACAUGUAGUAUACUGAUUACCACAACCAAAUUAAUUAAGGUACAUCACCACCUAUGCUGCAUACUAGAUCCCCAGAAUGUGUUCAUCUUAUAAUUUAAAGUUUGUGCCCUUUGACCAAUAUCUCCCCAUCCUCCCUCCCCUAGUUCCUGGUAACCACUGUUCUAUUCUCUGAGUUCAAUUUUUUUUAGAUUUUUUUUAGAUUCUGAAUAUAAGUGA